rnacentral:rRNA from 1 species
AUGUCUGGACGUGAGGUUCGUGAGUACACUAACCUCAGCGACCCUAAAGAUAGAAAGUAUGGGAAGGGGAAGGACAAGAUCGACGAUGAGGAUGUCACCUUCCAGCGCAUGGUAGCAAAGAUGCAGGAUGUUGCUGGUGAGCGGGGAGGCUACCUUCAUGGGCGAGGAGCAUUGGACAGUGAUGAUUUGCUUUACCUUAAAGAGCAAAUGGAGGCUGAGGAAGAUGCAGAGCGUCUCCUCCGUCGUACAGAGAAGCGGGCAUUUGCUGCCUUUAAGCAAGCAGCAGUUCUAGCUGAUUCUGCACCUCCUAUUCCCGCGGCUCUUCGCGUCGAGCCUAGACCCAAAAGUGAUAUAAGGCAACGUGAUCUCUUGAAGAAGAUUGUCGAGAUCAAACCAAAGCGAGCAAAAGUCAGCAGCCCUCGACAAACAGCAGAGGGCGAUAGACCUAAGCAGGAACAAGAAGAUUCUGUGAGGAAAAUGUCUACGCCUGAAGGUGAAAAUGAACGGUCUCAAGGGGCAGUCAGCUUUGUGCAACCUCGGUCAAAACCAGGUGAUCCAGCAGAGGCCAAGUCGCAGAAUGCAGCUGUAAGCUUACUUGGUUUAGCGUAUGAGAGUUCGGACGAGGAAUAG